rnacentral:rRNA from 1 species
AUUGAACGCUGGCGGCAUGCCUUACACAUGCAAGUCGAACGGUAACAGGUCUUCGGAUGCUGACGAGUGGCGAACGGGUGAGUAAUACAUCGGAACGUGCCCAGUCGUGGGGGAUAACGAAGCGAAAGCUUUGCUAAUACCGCAUACGAUCUACGGAUGAAAGCGGGGGAUCGCAAGACCUCGCGCGAUUGGAGCGGCCGAUGGCAGAUUAGGUAGUUGGUGGGGUAAAGGCGUACCAAGCCUACGAUCUGUAGCUGGUCAGAGAGGACGACCAGCCACACUGGGACUGAGCCACGGCCCAGACUCCUACGGGAGGCAGCAGUGGGGAAUUUUGGACAAUGGGCGCAAGCCUGAUUCAGCAAUGCCGCGUGCAGGAUGAAGGCCUUCGGGUUGUAAACUGCUUUUGUACGGAACGAAAAGCUCUGGGUUAAUACCCUGGGGUCAUGACGGUACCGUAAGAAUAAGCACCGGCUAACUACGUGCCAGCAGCCGCCGUAA